GAAAUGAUAGCUCAGUGGUAGAUCAUCUGCCUUGCAUGUAGAAGAUCCCAGAUUCAAUUGUUGGUCUUACCA